UCAUACAGCCAUAUCACCCUGCAGCCCAAGACUGGUUACUUACUGAAGCUAAGCAGGGCUGAGCCUGGUUAGUAACGGGAUGGUAGACCACAUGGGAAAACCAGGUUGCUGCUGAU
ensembl:rRNA 5S_rRNA 5S ribosomal RNA